CGUUUAGUCCAGUCCUGCCGGCAGCAGGGAGAGCAGCAGGCCACCCACACACGUCUGCUCUGCCCCCCAUAAACCAGCUGUUUAUAUUGGGCAGAAGGACAGAGAUUACAGGGGAAGUGGGCAAAGGGUGUGCCAAGUGGGCAGGUGACAGGCAGUGGGGGCUGGAGACUUGCGAACACCUGCAGGUAUGCAAAGGUGGGGGGUCUUCAAAGCGCUGGCGAUAUGCAAAGAGCUGGCGGCUCUGGUUUCUGCAACAGGUUGCUCAUCUCCAUGGUAACAAGCAGCUCCCUGAUGGGGAGGACAGGCUGCACUUCCAGGCGAGCUCCCAGGCCUCACGUGCACCUCCCAGCCAGACACUUACCAGCUGCCUUCAGACACCAGAGCCUGAUGAGCAGGGAAGCUCCCGGGAGAAGGACCAGCUGUUGGCAGAGAGGGCGACACGGCAGCCCAUCUGUGAAGUGAGGUGUGUCCACGGCACCGAGGGACCCGGGAGGCCUCUCAGAGGAGAAGGAGGCGGGCCAGAGUGUCAUCAGGAACAAGGUAGGUCCAGGCGUCUGAGGCGUGGAGCACUUCAAGGGCACUGGAUAUGACCUUUGACCUUUACAACCACACAAUGACCGUGGAGGACCCACCCACUUCCGCUUGGACUUCCGACUUCCGCUCAGGCGCCG